UGAGAGACAAUAUUUAGAUGUUAUUGUACUUGUAAUUCAAACUGAAAUUGUGGUUGAAUUGAUAUGUUUCAAUACAAUGUUCAUGUAUAUACAUCCACUGUAGUAAUUGUGUUACAGAUAGUUGUGUGUUAACGACUUCCAUCAAUUCUGAAAAGAAUCUACCAUCAAUAGAAUUGUUAGGAGACAACAUUGGUGUUACCAUAACACCAUCUAAGAAUACAUCAGAUACCCAAAGAAAAAAGUUCUCAUUGGUUUUUGGUCAUGAUGAAGCUAAAAAACAUUACUGUGAAAGAUAUGGACAUCUCAGAGUGUGUUUAUUUUUAAGUCAAGUAAAUGUACUUUAAAAAUUUUAAAAAUGCUUGAUGCAUAUGAAAUUAACAUGUAUUUUAGAUUAUUUUACAACUGAAUAUUCGUUCUUCUAUUUCUUUUCAUUUAAAGCUCAGGCAUGAGAAAAAUACAUGUAUCUCAACCCUGCCAAAAGCAUGCUGGAUCCCAAACAAAUGUCAGCAGGAAUCACUGAAGGAGAAUAUAAAACAUCAAAUUUCACACAUUCUACUAAAAUAUGUUGACUUUUUAAAACCUUUGAAAAGUGUUAUUCCACCUUAUAUUGCACAUAAGUUUAUUGAAUUAACUAAGACCAAGUCUGUUUUCUUGAAUUGUGAGCUGAUUGAAGCUAGUGAAAAUAGUGUUAGUGGCAUGAUUUCUAACAUGCAGCGUAUUCAUAAACUUUCAGUUCCACAUGCUAGACACACGGAUAAAAGAGUUAAUUGAAAGGGUUGUCUUUGGUGGAAAUGUACUGAAAAACGAAAGGGCGUGUACAGCACAGCAGAACAUUCAAGUGAACAAGUGUGAUGUUGACAAACUUGCAGGCCUAAUUCACCGUCAGAGGAUCUUCACAGGGAAAUGAGUUUUCUCAUCAGUUGAUUCCAAGAUUGUUUUGCAUAUGAAGAAUGAGGUUCCCGAUCCAUUCCAAUAGACGAUGAGGAUAUCAUUGUGCUGUAAAAUCUAGAAUUUAUCAACAAUUCUACACUGAGGAAAAUUCUUUAGACAAAGGCAGCCUGUACCAUCUCAGGAACCUGAUCAAUAGACGGAAUGUUACAGGACAUGAUGAUGUAACGUCAAACUUAAGAGAUACCCUUGAGUCCUACAAAAUGGGAGAUGGCGACAGGAUUGUUAAAAAUGCGUACUUUGAAUGGUUAUACGCCUUAUCCCUUCACCAUACUAAAUAUGCUAUCUGGUUGUGGAAAAUGAUUGCUUAUGUCGACGCUGUUUUAUCUCCAGCCGAAAGUGCGGAAUGCAAAUGAAAUAUGACUGUUAAUUUUAAAGGUGGUGUCCAAAAUAACAUUCAUAAUGACAAUUGUGAUGAAUUACAAGUUGGUAAUAUCAAAGAGCGACUGAAUACUCAGGGAGCUAAACAGUCUUUCCAAUCAGCUCAGAAUAUCUGGAUGACAACUCAACUUGUGGAGGACAUAAUUAAAAACUUACGAAGAAAUGUUAGAAGUGUAAAAACUAAACACACGAGACCAGAUGUUGACAAGUCAGCUGACGUCUAAAAAAUGGUUGAACAUCUCGGAAAAUAUGGAUGUGUUAAAGAUAUUGAAUGGAACAAUUGUUCAUCUUUUCAAGCUCCUAUAAUUAAAAUUGUACCAAAAGAUUUGUUUGAAUGGAUAAACAGACAUCAACAAAUUGCAUCAGUAUUUAUCAAUAUGGUCCCAGACUUUUAUUGUGUUUGUUUGAUUCAAUGUAUCAUUCAAAUUUCCCCAAUUAGAUUAUGUACUGACCUGGGUUAUUGUUAAAAAAUGAGUCCUAUUCUUUUGUAUUAGGUGCCUGAUAUUUACAUAUGCAGCGAUAUCGACUUAUUUAUUCACUUUCAUACAAAUUAUUUGUAUUUUAUACAAAUCCACUGUACAUAAUUGUGUAAACUGUGUUUUGGCGGUGCAUUUGAACAGUCUUACAGAGACAGGCCUUGUAAAAUGAAGCUAGACCACCGGAAGGGUUGUAGAUUUCAUGGCAUUGCUCGAUCGGUCUCAUCAAUCGCAGCGAUAUAUAUAUAGGCUCAUAUUCUUUCACCAUAAAAAUCUGUAUAUAUAUCAUUGUGUAAAAUAAGUAUACAUUAAAUUAAAAAAACGAACUUAUCCAUUAUUAUGCGGUGGUGUUAUUGAGAAAAGUGUGAUGGGUUGCU